GACGAACGCUGGCGGCGUGCUUAACACAUGCAAGUCGAACGCUGAAGCUUGGUGCUUGCACUGGGUGGAUGAGUGGCGAACGGGUGAGUAAUACGUGAGUAACCUGCCCUUGACUCUGGGAUAAGCCUGGGAAACUGGGUCUAAUACUGGAUACGACAUGUCACCGCAUGGUGGUGUGUGGAAAGGGUUUUACUGGUUUUGGAUGGGCUCACGGCCUAUCAGCUUGUUGGUGGGGUAAUGGCUCACCAAGGCGACGACGGGUAGCCGGCCUGAGAGGGUGACCGGCCACACUGGGACUGAGACACGGCCCAGACUCCUACGGGAGGCAGCAGUGGGGAAUAUUGCACAAUGGGCGGAAGCCUGAUGCAGCGACGCCGCGUGAGGGAUGACGGCCUUCGGGUUGUAAACCUCUUUCAGCACGGAAGAAGCGAAA
rnacentral:rRNA from 1 species